rnacentral:rRNA from 1 species
AUUGAACGCUGGCGGCAUGCUUUACACAUGCAAGUCGAACGGUAACAGGCCGCAAGGUGCUGAGGAGUGGCGAACGGGUGAGUAAUGCAUCGGAACGUGCCCAGUCGUGGGGGAUAACGCAGCGAAAGCUGUGCUAAUACCGCAUACGAUCUUUGGUUGGAAGCGGGGGACCGUGAGGCCUCGCGCGAUUGGAGCGGGCGAUGUCAGAGUCGGGAGUUGGGGGGGUAAAGGCUCAACAAGGCAACGAACUGUAGCUGGUCUGAGAGGACGACCAGCCACACUGGGAGUGAGACACGGCCCAGACUCCUACGGGAGGAAGCAGUGGGGAAUUUUGGGCAAUGGGCACGAGCCUGAUCCAGCAAUGCCGCGUGCAGGAAGAAGGCCUUCGGGUUGUAGACUGCUUUUGUACGGAACGAAAAGGUCUGGGUUAAUACCCUGGGCUGAUGACGGUACCGUAAGAAUAAGCACCGGCUAACUACGUGCCAGCAGCCGCAGUAAGAC